rnacentral:rRNA from 1 species
AGGGUGUAAAACGCUGCAGACUUGGUGUUGGAGGCCCGUUUGGGGGCAUUCAGUGCCGGAGAGAAGUUGUUAAGUCUGCUACGUUGGGGAGUACGUCCGCAAGGAUGAAACUUAAAGGAAUUGGCGGGGGAGCACCGCAACGGGAGGAGCGUGCGGUUUAAUUGGAUUCAACACCGUAAACUCACCAGGGAAGACUGUUACAUGAAGGCCGAGAUGAAGACUCUGCUAGAUUUUCAGAGAGGAGGUGCAUGGCGUCAGUGACU